GAGCGCGACACGGGGUGCCCCCAGGGGCUGAGAACACACCCGUCGAACCUGAUCUGGUUAGGACCAGCGAAGGGAAUGUCGUGACGUUCGGUA
rnacentral:ncRNA from 2 species